AAAAAGGCAAACCCUAGUUUUCUGUGUCGACAUUUAACUGUCCGUCUUAUAUGAAAAUUUUUUAUAAUUAGUAUUUUCAUUGUUGUUAGAUGAUAAAACAUAAUUAAUACUUUAUGCGUGACUUAUCUUUUUAAUUUUUUUUAUAAUUUUUUCAAAUAAGACGUACGGUCAAAUGUUAGACACGCAAAUCAGGGUUUGUCUUUUU
rfam:Oryza sativa (indica cultivar-group) chromosome 10, whole genome shotgun sequence.